ensembl:misc_RNA 7SK 7SK RNA
GGGUGUGAGGGUGAUCUGGCUGUGACAUCUGUCGCUCCCCUCAUCAGCAGGUUUGAUUCAGCUGAGCUGGCUGACAAGGCAGUGUCCCUUCCUUCCUCAUGGCUCCAUGUGCAGCCCUCCUGAGGCUGGUGGGAGAGGGCAACCAACCCCAACAGAGGAGGACCAUUUCCCAGGGCAGAGUACAGGAGCAGCUGCACUCCCUUGCUAGAAUCCCCAAAUAAGCUCCCAAGAUUUCCAUUUUGUUCCUUUCCACUAAGAUAUCUAUGAGACUAUCAGUUCAAAUUAUAUCAUU